UCCAGCAUACGGCUGGGAUUACACACCUGAUGACAGCCACCUUUCACACGCACAGCCUUUUGCGCGAGACGUAGAAACAGACGGCGGUCUGGCAUUCGUCCCAUCGUACGCAAGUUUACCGUAGGCCUUGUGUAUGCAUCAAUAUAUAUUUUAGAAACAGGUCUAAACAAGAGAAUGAAGUCGACCUCAUAAGGUUUGCGAAGCUCUUCGUGUUGGAGAACGAAAGGGAAAAAGUUUGGCUUUUUAUCGAAUGUCUCGUUGUUUUCACAGCUGGAUGUUAGACAAUACAAAGACAGUGGUGAAAAGAAGCCAACAGAAAUAAAACAAAAUAAAAGGAUGACACAAAAUAUUGGCAAGCGUGUUGGUAUGUUUUAUUUUGAUUAUUUUUUUUUAAAUUUCUGAUUGGCAAACCUCAACGAGUCCCCCGCGUUGUCGGAGUGCUAUUUGUUGUCAAGUCAUUAGCUCCGUCUGUGUAGACUGCACGAUGUCCGGGCAUACAGACAAACAAACGGGUUAGAGGCAGCACUGUAGUGUCGCACUGACUAUAUAGACUCCGCUUGUGUGCCGUAAAUGCGGGACGUGUAUAUACAGCCGGCGGGACAAGCGUGUCGGAUUUGAAAUGAGCUUAGAUUCCUGUAUGUCUUCGUUCAGAACGUGUUCGUGGAACAUGGCAGCUUAGGCGAAACGGCAAUCAAAUGAAAUCAGCAUCCGCAGUGAAUAAACGUUUGAGGUUAAAGGCUAAAAUGGUGGCGACAGCAACAGCAUUCGAGUUGCGAACAAUUUGCCGAACACACACACACACACAAAAAAGAAAUAUUUGCAUCACAGCUCUCAAAGUUGUGUAUGAAAAGAGACGAUGCCGAGAAUUCAAUCGAGGCUGUGUAAAGCGAUUGCUUUGGCUUCAAUGCAAGGAUAUUUCUUUAUCUUAUUACGAUUAUUUACUUUUCCCUUUUGAAAAUGUUCAUUUUUCCCUAUUUGAAUUUCCAUUCCCGUGAAGAUUGUGACAGUUGAAUAAACGAUUUAAUCAAGAA